rnacentral:rRNA from 1 species
GGCGAACGGGUGAGUAACACGUGAGUAACCUGCCCUUGACUCUGGGAUAAGCCUGGGAAACCGGGUCUAAUACCGGAUAUGACCUGUCACCGCAUGGUGUCGGGUGGAAAGAUUUAUUGGUUUUGGAUGGACUCGCGGCCUAUCAGCUUGUUGGUGGGGUAAUGGCCUACCAAGGCGACGACGGGUAGCCGGCCUGAGAGGGUGACCGGCCACACUGGGACUGAGACACGGCCCAGACUCCUACGGGAGGCAGCAGUGGGGAAUAUUGCACAAUGGGCGCAAGCCUGAUGCAGCGACGCCGCGUGAGGGAUGACGGCCUUCGGGUUGUAAACCUCUUUCAGCAGGGAAGAAGCGGAAGUGACGGUACCUGCAGAAGAAGCGCCGGCUAACUACGUGCCAGCAGCCGCGGUAAUACGUAGGGCGCAAGCGUUGUCCGGAAUUAUUGGGCGUAAAGAGCUCGUAGGCGGUUUGUCGCGUCUGCUGUGAAAGCCCGGGGCUCAACCCCGGGUCUGCAGUGGGUACGGGCAGACUUGAGUGCAGUAGGGGAGACUGGAAUUCCUGGUGUAGCGGUGAAAUGCGCAGAUAUCAGGAGGAACACCGAUGGCGAAGGCAGGUCUCUGGGCUGUAACUGACGCUGAGGAGCGAAAGCAUGGGGAGCGAACAGGAUUAGAUACCCUGGUAGUCCAUGCCGUAAACGUUGGGCACUAGGUGUGGGGGACAUUCCACGUUUUCCGCGCCGUAGCUAACGCAUUAAGUGCCCCGCCUGGGGAGUACGGCCGCAAGGCUAAAACUCAAAGGAAUUGACGGGGGCCCGCACAAGCGGCGGAGCAUGCGGAUUAAUUCGAUGCAACGCGAAGAACCUUACCAAGGCUUGACAUGGGCCGGACCGGGCUGGAAAACAGUCCUUACCUUUUAGGGCCGGUUCACAGGUGGGGCAUGGUUGUCGUCAGCUCGUGUCGUGAGAUGUUGGGUUAAGUCCCGCAACGAGCGCAACCCUCGUUCUAUGUUGCCAGCGGUUCGGCCGGGGACUCAUAGGAGACUGCCGGGGUCAACUCGGAAGGAAGGUGGGGACGACGUCAAAUCAUCAUGCCCCUUNAUGUCUUGGGCUUCACGCAUGCUACAAUGGCC